GGCUAAUUAGUUAUAGGAAUAACGCAUGUUUUGAAAGCAUGAUAAAGAGGUUAAACUCCUCUAUUGGCCG
rnacentral:tRNA from 1 species